rnacentral:rRNA from 1 species
CCUACGGGUGGCAGCAGUGAGGAAUAUUGGUCAAUGGACGAGAGUCUGAACCAGCCAAGUAGCGUGAAGGAUGACUGCCCUAUGGGUUGUAAACUUCUUUUAUAUGGGAAUAAAACGUUCCACGUGUGGGAUUUUGUAUGUACAAUAUGAAUAAGGAUCGGCUAACUACGUGCCAGCAGCCGCGGUAAUACGGAGGAUCUGAGCGUUAUCCGGGUUUAUUGGGUUUAAAGGGUGCGUAGGUGGAUUGUUAAGUUAGUUGUGAAAGUUUGCGGCUCAACCGUAAAAUUGCAGUUGAAACUGGCAGUCUUGAGUACAGUAGAGGUAGGCGGAAUUCGGGGUGUAGCGGUGAAAUGCGUAGAUAUCACGAAGAACUCCGAUUGCGAAGGCAGUUCACUGGACUGCAACUGACACUGAGGCUCGAAAGUGUGGGUAUCAAACAGGAUUAGAUACCCCAGUAGUC